rnacentral:rRNA from 1 species
AUUGAACUCUCGCGGCAGGCCUAACACAUGCAAGUCGAACGAGUGGCGGACGGGUGAGUAAUGUCUGGGAAACUGCCUGAUGGAGGGGGAUAACUACUGGAAACGGUCGCUAAUACCGCAUACCAUCGGAUGUGCCCCGAUGGGAUUAUCGAGUAGGUGGGGUAACGGCUCACCGAGGCGACGAUCCCUAGCUGGUCUGAGAGGAUGACCAGCCACACUGGAACGGGGACACGGUCCAGACUCCUACGGGAGGCAGCAGUGGGGAAUAUUGCACAAUGGGCGCAAGCCUGAGGCAGCCAUGCCGCGUGUAGGAAGAAGGCCUUCGGGUUGUAAAGUACUUUCAGCGGGGAGGCGUUACCCGCAGAAGAAGCACCGGCUAACUCCGUGCCAGCAGCCGCGGUAAUUC